UACGGGGGGAACAAGUGUUAUUCAUCAUAACUGGGCGUAAAGGGCGCGUAGACGGCAUUAUUCGUGUUGAAUAAACUUGGAAUGAAGUUUUUCCUUCAUACAGUAUGCUUGAGUUUUUUGGAUGUCAGUGGAAUUUAAUCUAGAGGGGUGAAAUGCGGUAUAGAUUAGAGACCAACAACGGGCGAAGGCGACUGACAAUAAUAAACUGACGUUGAGGCGCAAAAGCGUAGGGAGCAAACAGG
rnacentral:rRNA from 1 species